UGCACUAGAGAGAAAAACAUGAUUCAGGGUAGAAAUUAUACGGUUAAAACAUGUUUUUAAAACCUAGAGUCAGGCUGGGCGCAGUGGCUCAUGCCUAUAAUCCCAGCACUUUGGGAGGCUGAGGCGGGUGGAUCACGAGGUCAAGAGAUCAAGACCAUCCUGGUCAACAAUGUGAAACCCCGUCUCUACUAAAAAUACAAAAAUUAGCUGGGCAUGGUGGUGCGCGCCUGUAGUCCCAGCUACUCGGGAGGCUGAGGCAGAAUUGCUUGAACUCAGAAGGUGGAGGUUGUGGUGAGCCGAGAUCGUGCCAUUGCACUCCAGUCUGGGUAACAACAGCAAAACUCCAUCUCAAAAAAAAGCAACAAAAAAAAAAACCUGGAGUCAAAGGAUAUUCACUGAACACAUACAGGUCGCCCACCAUUCCUUCACUAAAAAUUAGCCUUACCAUAGUCUAGGUGACUUGUGAUUCACAGCAUUUGCUCUCAAGGAACUUAUUUUAUUUGGGGAAAAAGACCACUGAAUUUGAAGAGGCAGUAAAGCAUUGUUCAAGAGUUUGAACAACCUGGGUUCAAAUCCCAACUCUGUUAUUGUAUGAUCCUCUGUAAGUUAACUUUCUUGUGCCUGAGUGUAUUUUUUUUUUUAGAGACAGGGUCUUGCUCUGUUGCCAAGGCUGGAAUGCAGUGGUAUGAUCAGAGCUCCCUUCAGCCUUGAACUCCUGGGCUCCUGUGAUGCUCCUGUCUCUCAGCCCCCCAGCAAGUUGCUAGGAUUACAUGUGUAAGCCAUUGUGCCUGGCUGAGUGGAUUUAUCAAUGAAAUGAAGACAAUAACAGCACAUAGAACUCUGAUGGAGAUUUCAUGAGACAAUGCAAAAUGCUCACAAUAGUGCCUAACACGGCAUAAGCUCUCAAUACACAUUAGCUUUUUUUUUUAGUGAGAUGGAGUCUUGCUCUGUCAUCAGGCUGGAGUACAGUGGCUCCAUCUCUGCUCACUGCAAUCUCUGCCUCCCAGGUUCAAGCAAUUCUCCUGCCUCAGCCUCCCGAGUAGCUGGGACUAUAGGUGCGCGCCACCACACCCAGCUAAUUUUUGUAGUAGCAUUAUUUUUAUAUGGAAAAAUCAGCAAAAGAAAACAGGAUUGAAAUUGAUAAUGUAAAAUCCUAGACAUGGCCUAGGCUAGUAAUUACUAUACAAACUUUGCGUUGAGGGAGAACUGCUAGGGGGUUACACAGGUCAGGGAGGCUUCAAUCCAACAAGCAGUUAAUACCACCUUAGGUUACUUGGUGGAAGCAAAGUUUAUGAUGUAGCUCCACUUGUCUAGGUGUUACAUUCUGACUGGAGAGACAGCGAGCUAGGACAAUAACCAUAAAAUCACAAUAUUCAACAACCCCUGAUUACGCUCCUAAAAUAAUGGCAAAGAGGCAGUGACCUGGAACUUCGGAUGAAGCAUAAGGAUGUCUUUUGAAAAUUAGGUUUUAGGCUGGGUGAUUACAGGUGAUCACACCUGUAAUCCUAGCACUUUGGGAGGCUGAGGUGAGUGGAUCACCUGAGGUCAGGAGUUUAAGACCAGCCUGGAGAACAUGGUGAAACCCCGUCUCUAUUGAAAAUACCAAAAUUAGCCAGGAGUGGUGGUGCACUUCUGUAAUCCCUAUAAAUAACAAAAAUAACAACAAAAACAAUGGCAGCAGCUAACAUUUAAUGAGAGUUAAAUAUGCACCAAGCCCUGUUCUAAGCGCUCUCUCUCUCUCUCUCUCUCUCUCUCUAUAUAUAUAUAUAUAUAUUUUUUUUUUUUUUUUUUUGGAGACGGAGUCUCACUCUGUUGCCCAGGCUGGCAUGCAGUGGCACAGACUCAGCUCUGCAACCUCUGUCUCCCAGGUUCAGGCAAUUCUCCUGCCUCAACCUCCUGAGUAGCUGGGAUUACAGGCACGUGCCACCACGCCCAGCUUAUUUUUUGUAUUUUUAGUAGAGACAGGUUUCACCAUGUUGGUCAGGCUAGUCUUGAACCCCUGACCUUGUGAUCUGGCUGCCUUGGCCUCCCAAAGUGCUGGGAUUACAGGUGUGAACCACCAUGCCGGCCAGCACUCUAGAUAUUUUAACUUAAUACAGUAACUUUCUGAAGAAGGCACUAUUAUUCCCAUUUUAAAGAUGAGGAAACUGAGGAACAGAUUAAAUAACUGACCCAUGGUCACAAAUCUGGUUUUUGAGGGCAGCACCUGGAGAAAAGUCCAUGCUCCUAACCACCACAUUCUACCACUUUUCACACACACACACACACACACACACACACACGCAGGGACUUGACAGCUCUGAGGAGUGCCACCAUGGUCCAGCUCACUCCAAAACACCUCUUUCUCAGACUAGCAUGACCAGCCAUGUGAAAAUACAUCAAGUCAGGUGUGCAGUGGCUCAUGCCUGGGGCCCAACAUGGUGAAACCCUGUCUCUACUAAAAAUACAAAAAUUAGCUGGCCACGGUGGUGCACGCCUGUAGUCUCACCUACAGAGGCUGAGGCAGGAGAGUUGAUUGAACCCAGGAGGCGGACGUUGCAGUGAGCAGAAAUCGGGCCACUAGACUCCAGCCUGGGCAGCAGAGCAAGACUCCUCUCAAAAAAAAUAAAACGCACCAAGUCGGCUAUACACAGUGGCUCACGCCAGUAAUCCCAGCAUUUUGGGAGGCAGAGGCGGGUGGAUCACAAGGUCUAGGGAUUGAGACCAUCCUGGUUAACAUGGCGAAACUCCGUCUCUACAAAAAAAAAAUUAGGGCCGGGCACGGUGGCUCACGCCUGUAAUCCUAGCACUCUGGGAGGCCGAGGUGGGUGGAUCACCUGAGGUCAGGAGUUCAAGACCAGCCUGGCCAUCAUGGUGGUCAUGGUGAAACCCCAUCUUUAAAAAAAAAAUUAGCUGGCCGUGGUGGCAAACGCCUGUAGUCCCAAGCUACUCGGGAGUCUGAGGCAGGAGAACUGUAUGAAGCCGGAAGAUGGAGGUUGCAGUGAGCCAAGAUCAUGCCACUGCACUCCAACCUGGACAAGAACAAGACUUGGUCUCAAAAAACAAACGAAAAACAACAACAAACAUCAAGCCAAAUAAAGAAAAUAACAAAAUACUGACAGUCCUUGAUAUUUGUACUGCCCUUGACAGUUUAGACGGAAUUUUCCCCAACCCUUCUUUCAUCCAGUACGGUGGGCAUAGAGCUGAGAGGAAUACCGAGGUAGGAAAACAGCUUCUGCACUCUAGGAGCCUAUACACAAAUGCUUCAGACUAACAGACUGGUUCUGCCACCUGAGGGAGGGUUAGCAGGGAGCAGGGAGAAUUCAAGGAAUACUAGAGGCAGGUAGAGUUUGGGAAACUGGAGGGAAGUGAGGCCAUUUCAGCUGGAGGGACUGGAAAAGGACUCUUGCGAAAGUCACCUCCCUUCUGUGGUUCAGUUCAUUUUUCUGUGAGGGGAGUAGGAAAUGGAUGACAGCUGAGAUCCUAUGGCCACUUUGCUUAUAAAACCUAACGGUGACGGGUAAGGUGGCGCAGGUCUUUAAUCCCAGCACUUUGGGAGACCAAGGCGGGCAGAUCGCCUGAGGUCAGGAGUUCGAGACCAGCCUGGCCAACACGAUGAAACCCCGUCUCUACUAAAAAUACAAAAAUUAGCCCGGUGUGCUGGCACACGCCUGUGGUCCCACUCGAGAGGUCAGGCAGGAUAAUCUCUUGGACUCAGGAGGUGGAGGCUGCAGUGAGCAGAGAUCGUGCCACUGUGCUCCAGCCUCGACGACAGAGUGAGACUCAGUUUCUUUCUCUUUUUUUUUUUUGAGACGGGGUUUCACCAUGUUGGCCAGGUUGGUCUCAAUCUCUUGACCUCGUGAUCCGCCCGCCUCGGCCUCCCAAAGUGCUAGGAUUACAGGCGUGAGCCACCGCGCCCAGCCAAUGAGACUCAGUUUCAAACAAACAAACAAGAAAUCUAACGGGCAUCUGUAAUCAUACUCUGCAACUCUAGACUGUGGGUUCCAGGUACACCAGUGGCUCGGUCUGGGCCCAGGGCACACCACUUCGCCUCUCCGUGCCUCCGCUGCCUCACCUACAAAAUAACUGUGUCACUGACAGUCCUCGUCCUCCCGCCCAGCGGCUCGGUAACAUCUACGAGGGACAAAAGAAACCAAAGCUCCGAAGGCGUCGUACGGAUGCUGGGUCUGGCCCAAGGUGGGCGAGUGGUGGGGCUGCGCAUGCUCAUCCACAGAAGCACCGCUAGGCCGUUGGGCCGCUCACCUGUCGCUCUGACGUGCCGGCGCCGCCGUAAGAAGGUAGCUGGGUCUGGCGCUGGCGCUGGGUAAGCGGAGCGGCUGCGAGGCUUCCCUCGGCGUCCGGGUGUCCAGCUUCCCACAGCGCGCCCUGGUAGCGUCCGUGGGCGCACAGGCUCGAAGAACCUCCUCGAGGCGGGCACCCGAGGUGGCGGCUGAGGCAGAUAAUGGCGCCUGGGCUGCGGUGGCGCUGGCCCUAUCGCCUGGCAGCUUUCUCCAGGGCCAGGAUAUACUUAUUUUUCUGUAAAGCAACUCUUCCUUAGCGCAGAAGAGGCGUCAAAGCGCUGGCGCGUCUCCAGAGCUGCUGUAACGGCAGCCCCGUCGUAGGCAGGGACAUUCGCAUCCCGAGCCCAGGAUCGCUGAAAACCAGUCCAGAAUUUGGAAGCUGGAAGGAACCUUAGAGCGUCCAUUCUGGGUGUCUCUUCGCUGGCGUUUUCCCACUGACGUUAUGUAAACGUCAAGAGGAGCCUAGAAGUGUAAAGGAAAAAAGGACAGCUAACCACAGGGCAGACCGUGGGCAAGAUACCUUCGUGUUCUCCGCUCUCAUAGGUCAGGGUUUCACCAUGUUACCCAGGCUGGUCUCGAACUCCUGAGCUCAGACAAUCCACCCACCUCGGCCUCCCAAAGUGCUAGGAUUACAGGCAUGAGCCACCGCACCCGACUUUUAUUUUCUGUUUUUAAGGCAGAGUCUCUGUUGCCCAGGCUGGAGUACAGUGGCAUAAUCAUAGCUCACUGCAGCCUCAUACUCCCAGACUCAAGUGAUCCUCCCACCUCAGCCUCCCAAGCAGCUGGAACUACAGGCGUGUGCCCCCACACCUGGCUCAUAUUUUAAUUUUUUGUAGAGACAGGGUCUUCUUAUGUUGCUCAGGCUGGUCUUGAACUCCUAGACUCAAGCAGCCCUCCUGCCUUAUCCUCCCAAAAUGCUGGGAUUACAGGCAUGAGCUACUGUACCGAGACUAUAUUUUUAUCAAGAAUUAGUGGUGGUGAGUGUGCGAACAUUUUAUUUUAGAACCUCCUGUUCUCAUUUCAUGAAUGUAAAGUUUUAUCUUUCUGAAGAUGCCAAUUAUAGAUUUUUUUUUUUUUGAGAGUGUUUCACUCUUAAUGCCCAGGCAUUAAGAGUGCAGUGAUGCAGUGCAGUGCACUGCAUUGUACAGUGGUGCAAUCUUGGCUCACUGCAACCUCCGCCUCCCAGGUUCAAGCGAUUCUCCUGCCUCAGCCUCCCAAGUAGCUGGGAUUACAGGCGCGCACCAACAUGCUCACCUAACUUUUGUAUUUUUAGUAGAGAUAGGGUUUCUCCAUGUUGACCAGACUGGUCUCGAACUCUUGACCUCAGGUGAUCCACCAGCCUUGGCCUCCCAAAGUGCUGGGAUUAUAGGUGUGAACUAUCGUGCUUGGCCCAGUUAGAUUUUUUAAGUUUAGGUUUUGACAGAUCUCACCUCAGCCUUUCUCAGCUUCUCACGCAGCCCAUAGGAGAGACUGUAAGGUCAGUGUGGGGGCUAAUGAAUAAAUGCUACCUUGUGCCCACUCAGGUGGGUAAGGGCUAGGCACUUCUCUUCCCCUGGAGUGGGGUGGCUGUGCUGGGUACCCUUGGCAGACACGGUAAGGGGGACUGCACCUGGAGAGGGUGGGCUAGUUGCGGAAGGACUGCUCAGCACUCAUAGCUGUGUGUCACCCCUCCCACUUCCCUCUGCAAAAACACAGGAGGGAGAAGAAGCCAGCCUCUGAGGUAAGGCUUCCCCUAGAAGGCCCUGGGCUGGGGCUCUCUCCUGUCGGAGGUCAGUUACACACAGGGCGGGGAGUCCUGGGGUAGUGGUGGGCCCCCUCCAGGAAACUCACAAGGUUACCACAGCCGAACUGUAAAGGAAGAACUUCCCAGAACUGUGACACCCCAGUGUGAGAACAUGAGGAGGAUGAGAUGUUCUGAAGGUGUUGUUUUUUUUUUUUUGAGAUGGAGUUUUGCUCUUGUUGCACAGGCUGGAGUGCAAUGGUGCGAUCUCGUCACACUGCAACAUCCGCCACCCGGGUUCAAGCAGUUCUCCUGUCCAGCCCUCCCGAGCAGUUGGGAUUGCAGGUAUGCGCCACCACGCCUGGCUAAUUUUUUUGUAUUUUUAGUAGAGAUGGGGUUUCUCCAUGUUGGUCAGGCUGGUCUCAAACUCCUGACCUCAGGUGAUCCACCCACCUCAGCCUCCCAAACUGCUGGGAUUACAGGCGUGAACCACUGCACUUGGCUUCUGAGGCCUCAUGACCCCCAGGGGACCUGGAGGACUGAAUGAUGUUGCUCUCCAAGGAGGAGGCUGCCAUCUUGUCUCAGGAGGGAGAGCAGGUGAAGUCCCCAUGGGAGGAAGCAUCUAGCCCCAUUCCUGCUGACCAGGAGGUGGCAGGGACCCCAGGCUGGGAGGUAAGGACAGCCUGGGCUUCAACUGGGACAUCUCCAGCAUGAGUCCAACGGAGCAGGCAGAGAGGGACUGCUGGAGGCUGGCUCAACCUCAAGACAAGCAGGCCAAGCUGCCAUUUUAGGGGAAUGAGGACAUCUGUGCGGAUCUGAGAGGAGGCAGCCAUGUGUGAACAGACUGGGUCUCAUCCUGGCCUCCCCUGACUUCAUGUGGACAGAGCCUGUUUCCCUGUCUGCCGCACAGAACCUGGCUGAUCUCAUUGCUGGGUCCCUCUUCAUGCCAGGAAAAUAAACAGGUUCCAAAGGAAUUUGCUGUGUCUCCAUCUGGUAAGACUGUGGAUCCAACAUGCUAAUCUCAGUGACUGCUAGGGUCACAGAGCCCCCAGCCCUUUCCCACCUUCCUGACCUGGGGAGGGGAGCAGCCUCUAGGAGUCAGGUGUCUUGACCUUCCCGGGAGGCUCCCUGGGUUGGCAGGAACUCCAGGCCACUCCCCUGAGCUGGCUGCAUCCUGUCCUUUAACCACAGCUAACUGGCCCACCUGGGGCAUCUCAGAGGGAGGGUUGCUCCCAGCAGGGGACUUAGAAGGCUGCGGUUUCUACUUUGUAGAGGCCUCUGAAGAGGACAGUAAUGAGUAAAGGCCCUGGGACUGGGUCCCAUGCUUGUGAUCGAGCUGCUUCCAGCCUCUGACAGCCCCAAGACUCAGAACCACAAAGAAAAAGUUUCCAGUAAAUCCAAGAGUUGCUGCUGCUGCAGGCUUGGCUACCGCCUUUUGGGGCCUCCAUCUUGACAAACCGAGUCUGGCCUCAUCCACACUCUGUGUCCCACAGCUGCAGGAACAGCACACCCUGCUACCACAGUGGACUGUCUCUGGAGUGGCCCAAGGAGGCUCUGGCCGGCCUUUGGACUCAGUGCCAGGGGACAGACCAGUGUCCCUCUUGUGCUGACAGCUGGGCUGCACCCUGGCAUGAGGGCAUUUACAGAAGUGCUGGCAGGAACCACUGUCAGGAAGGCUGUAGGGUUCUCUAGCAAAGGAGGCCUCAGGUGGCCUCUCGGAGUGUCUGAGUCUCUGCUCCGGGCUGUUCCCUAAAAAGGUGUGCCCAGCCCAGCCAGUUGUGGUGCUGAGGACAGACGGGGAGAGAGGUUUCUACCUUCUGUGGGGGCUUCAGCUCCAGACCAGCAAGGGCCAAAGCCCCAGAAGGCAAAGCAGAAAGACAGGACUCAGGACACCUGAAGCAGCCUUCUUACUGGCAGAAGGAAACAGAAGCCCAGGGUGGGGAGGGGCAGGCCCAGGGUCACACUGGGUAGUGGCAGAGCCAGGACUAGGGUCAGAGUCUCUAAUUAAUUCUCAGCCACCCAUGCCACCACCUCCUCUGUUCACCCCAGUGCCUCAUGGGUCCAAGGUUGACCCUUGUUCCUAGGACAGGCCUGUUGCCCCCAGGGCUCAUGCACGGCCCUGCCUGACCCAGCCACUGGGAGAAUGGCCCUAGGGUCGGAGCCCAGACAAGCAUCCUCCUCAAGCUCCAGCCUGGCCCCAAGUGGAAACUUGUCACUGGUCAGGCGUCUGGACAGCAGCAUCCUUGAGGAGCUGGAGAGGUGGCCAGUCCCAUGGUGAGGUGACGGAGGCUGAGGGUGAUGGCUCAGUCCUGGGCUUCCAUGGGUCCUUCCCAGUGAACGUUCUGGCAGCUGCCGACUGAACCCUGGGAAGUGACCCUGGCACAAAGCUCCCUGACUCUCCAUGAUUUGUCUUUUAUUUUGGGGUGUCAUAUACUGUUGUGAUGGUGCUGGUGGGACCACUGCCCCAAUGUAGGGUAGACUGAGUCGGGCCUGAAUUGUGGGCCUCCAGGCUGAGUACUGCCCUCUCCGCCACACCCAGGGCUGACUGACAACACCUCUAGUCAGCCCACUCUGGCCCCUUCCCUAGAAGCUGGGACAACGUACAGUUCGUGUCACCAGUCAGAGAUGGGUCAGUGGGGGACGGGAUUAGGGCCAAGGCCAGCUGACACAUGCUCAAUCUCCACACACCCCUGUCUCAAACAUGGCCAGGCCAGGCGUUGGGGUAAGCAGGAAUGAGGCAGGGUGGGGCUGCCCUCGGGAGGCCUCGAGGCCCAUCACGGUCUGGCAGGGGACCCAGGUUGGAACUACCACAUUGCUUUAUUGCACACCAGGGCCCCUGGCUAGGGAGCAGGCUGAGGACUAGGUACCCUGUUCUAGCGGGGCACAGCACAAAGCUCAUAAGGGGAAGGGGUCACCAGGAAAGCAAAGACACCGUGAGGGCUGGGCCGGGGCUGUCCAGCGGGCACAGAGAAGCUGAAGCGCUGUAGCAGGCAGGUGAAGAACAGGAAGAGCUCCAUGCGGGCCAGGGGCUCCCCGAGGCAUGCGCGGCGGCCUGUGGGUAGGGGAGGGGCCUCAGUGAGCAUGGGUCCUGGGCGAUACCCCUGCAAGACUCCAUGGAAGGGACAGGGAGCCAGGCACCCCACAGGCACCUGCUGAGAAAGGCAGGAAGGCCUCUGGCUUCACAAAGCGGCCCUGGGCAUCCAGGAAGUGUUCAGGGUGGAAGCGGAAGGGCUUCUCCCAGUUGGCCUCAUCCUUCAGCACCGAUGACAGGUUGGUGAAGAGCGUUGUCCCCUGGGCAGGAGAUGCAGGGUGGCAGUGGGGACUGGGCUCUACGAUGCUCAACUCUAGUUCUUCAUCUAAGAAGCUCCUGGGCACCCACUCUGACCCCAUAGCAGGUCCCAGUCACAUCUCCUGGGGGUGCCCACACUGCCCCCUCUCCCUACAGGUGUGGGGUCCUCCAACAUUUUGGCAGGGCCUGGUCUGUCUUCCCCACUAGACAGGCUCUUGAUGGACAGGAUAGCUCUGACUCUGCUGGAGACCCCACAAUCAGUGUGGUGGCUUUGAGGUUCGGGAGGCCAGGGGUCCCAGACUGGGCCCACCUGGUAGUGCCCAUGCUGGAGCACCCACCUGACGCUGGUGCUGGUGCUGAGCUGGGUGAGGAGGGCCCCAGGCCUACCUUAGGGAUGAGGAAGCCCUGUACUUCAAUGUCUCGGGAUGUCAUGUGGGUCACACCCAGGGGGACGAUGUCCGCAAAGCGCUGCACCUCGUGAAUCACAGCAGUGGUGUAGGGCAUGUAAGUCUGGUCACCCAUCUCUGGUCGCCGCACCCGCCCUAUCACGUCGUCGAUCUCCUGUUGGACACGGCCUGGGCAGACGUGUCCCCACAAUGGGUCAGCACCCACUGGACUGGCCCUGAGCAUCCCUUCCUGCCUCCUGUAUUAGAGGAGGUCAGGCUUACAGGAGCCUGGCCAAGCCUGUGCUUGGAGCCCCAGGUGUCCCAGCUAAGCUCAGAGUACCCGCCUGUACCCUUCCUCCCUCGCCCACCCCCCACCCCGUACUGGGCUCCAGCUGGGCUCACGCUGCACAUCUGGGUGAAGGAUCAUCAGCAGGAGGCCCCAGGCCAGCGUGAUGGAGGUGGUCACCAUCCCGGCAGAGAACAGAUCAGCUACUACUAGGUGCAGGUUUUCAUCAUUAAAGCUGCUCUCAGGGUUCCCCUUGGUCUGAGCAGGGCCAAGAGGGUACUCAGGAGACAAGUCAACCCAGGUGCUGCUUGCAGGGUGAUGCACCAGCCCCAACUUUUGCCUGGCCACUCCUCAUUGUUCUCUGGACCCUCAACCCACCAUCCCUGCUCCCCACCCUGGCAGCUGCUCCCACCUUCUCCAUCUCUGCCAGAAAGGCUUCAGUCAGGUCUCGGGGUGGCUGGGCUGGGUCCCAGGUCAUCCUGUGCUCAGUCAGCAGCUCAUCCAGCUGGGCCAGGAAAGCCUUUUGGGAGCGUAAGACCUUGCCAGCCAGCCCCGGGAUGCGCAGAAGGACAGGGAUGGCAUUCAGCACCUGCACCAGACACAGAACAGGAUCUUGAUUUCUCCUGUGCUUUGCCUUCUCCUGGACCAGUCUCAGGCCCCAGCCCUCGCCAGGGAAGACCCAGGGCCUGCCUGUCCCCACCACUGACCUUCCCAAGUCCCUCCCCAAGUGCCAGCCUCCAUGCUCUCUCCUUACCUUGGGCUGACAGAGGAGAAAUCUAAAAUCAAAUUCUCCAAUGUGGACAGGAGGCACAGGGUCCUUGGCCUCUCUUAGUGCCCCCUAACCUGGAACCCCUGACCCACACACACCUCUCCCACGACCCUGUCUGAGAUUUCCACUCCUCCUCCAGGCCUUUCCUCUUGCAGUGGGCUCUCCUGGAAUGUCCUUUCCCAAACCCCUCUGCAAACCCUGCUCCUCGGAAGCCCGCUGCAGCCCGGGCAUCUCUCAGGAGCUCACCCUGCAGACGCCCCCAGUCCCUGGCUCCGUACCUCGCGUAGUAAGCCGGACUCCUCCUUCAAUCCCUCCAUUGUUAGGUCCAGCAGCCUGAGGAGGCAAGGGUCAUUAUACUCGAAGCGGCGCCGGCAGGUGAGGGACGCGAUCACGUUGCUCACCGCUUUGUCCAGGAGGCCGUUGGGGCGAAAGGGGCGUCCUGGGGGCAGAAGAUGUGGAGCAGCGCUCACUUUUCCUGUUCCCCACCUUCCCAGUUCCCGCCUUGCGCCCCUCUGCCCAUCACGCACCGGCGUGGUCUGCGAAGGCAGCACAGAGGUAGGUGGCCUCCUCGGUCACCCACUGCUCCAGAGACUUCUUGCCCAAGCCCAAGUUGCGUAAGGUGGACACGGAGAAGCGUCUCUGCUCUCGCCAGGCAGGGCCGUAGCGCGCCAGGAACAACCCUGGGGACCAGAUGGACACGUGAGCAUGGGCAUGAAGGCCUUGGCCCUGUACCGCCCACUCCAACCCUACGCUCCCUUUAGUCUCCCGCACUGCCUCGCCCCGUCCAGGUGGGCACAGGGUCCACUCUGCUCAUCCGUCUUGCUUGCCUGCACUCCCCUGCCUGGGGCAGGGCUUGACUCCCUACUUGGCUCUGUCUACGCUGACCGCCUUUCCACUCAGGGAAGAUCCCGCCGGACCGGCCCCACUCACACUGAGCCCGAAGGACAUGCGCAGCCCCCCAGACACCCACUUCAACUGGGAAAGGCUCCGGCCCCGCCCACCCAGCUCCAGGUGGUUCUGGGCAGUGGCCCCGCCCACACUCUCGUACCUCCCCAGAUCAGGUGGUGUCCCCGCUGUCCGCAGCCCACUCGCUGGCCUUUCUGUGUUUCACAUUCACAACCCCAAGCCCUCUCGGCCCAGCUGGGGCUACGGUUACCGCCCACCCGAGUCCCGCGGAAACACAGUCUGCGUCCCCACCACCGCUUGCCUUGGGAGUGGGGCCCGAAGCCCAGCAUCUCGGUGAUGGGCACAGGCGGCCGAUCGGCGGUGUCCUCACCGCGGGUCACCAGUGCCUCACGCACGGCCUCCAGCCCGUUGAGCACGACGACCGGUGUCCAGGCCAGCUGCAGGCUGAACACGUCCCCAAAGCGGCGCCUCAGCUGCAAAGGGAGGGUCAGGGCCUUCGUCAAGCCAGGGUCCCCCUAGACUACCAGGAGUGAGCAGGUGGAAGGAGGAGACUCAGCCUCCUGAUCCUAGGGCAGGGAUGGGGGUCACAACUUCUAUAACGCAGGAACUCAGUUUAGAUGUCACCUGGGUAUGACCUUGCAAGAGUGACUGAAAUUGCAGACAGGCCCCAGUUAGCAUCCCAUUUCACAGAUGAUCUUCCAUACUGGUGAGCAGUGAGGCCGAGGAAUGCAGAGUGCAAAAGGCUUGAACCAGGUCACUGCGUCCUCUUCAUCCUUGAUUUCCUGAUUUAAACGUCGCUCAGGACCCUGAACCCUUUCCCGUUCCUAAGGCCUUUCCUUCUGCUGUCACCAGAGGGGACUUUGUGCUCCAGAGUCUAUGCUGCCCAGCGGGCUUGCACAACCACUGCCAAGUCCAGCCCCACUUGCAGGCCCUUGCCCUACUCUUCCUUGGCAUUCAGAAAAUCUAAUCCUUCAGGCCGUGUACAAAUGCCCUCCCCCAGGAAGUCCCCCAAACCUGCUUCCCUUUUGCAGCCUGGCUUCUGGUCCAGCCUGUGGCUUCACCCACCACCCAUGUUUGCUGCUGGUGGGGGAUGCUCAGGACCUCUGCCGUCAUCCAGGCCCUCUUCCCUCACCUGGUUGAAGCUGUUUGGUGUAUUCUGGAAGUCCACAUGCAGCAGGUUGCCCAGCCCGGGCAGUGGCAUGGGGCCAGGUGGGUAGCGUGCAGCCCAGCGUUGGCGCCGGUGCAUCAGGUCCACCAGGAGCACGAAGAUGGCCACUGUCACGGCCAGGGGCACCAGUGCAUCCAGCCCCAUGGCUGCCUCGCUGCCCACUGAACUCCUCUGGACACCCCUGGAACCCCCACCCCACCAGGCACAGAGGACCAGGCAGGACACUCUCAGCAUACCGAGUGUGUGACUGUUCCCUUAUAAAGGGAGCUGAUGAUGGCCUCUGCCCUCUGCUGUGAGCCAACCUGCUCUGUUGAAUGUGCAGCCAGUGGGUUCAGGGUCAGGCCAGGGCAGGUAGGGGCCGCACCAAAGGUCCUUGUCCCAGCUGUUUACCCAGGGUAGGGUGGUGGAGGGGACUGGUGGGAGAAGUCACUCCUCCCAACUCCUCAAGCCCUCACAGUCUUCUGGAAUAACCAGGGUCUCAGAGGACCCUGCCAUCUGCCUCCCUGCUAGGCUCAUGUGCCUUUUGUGGUCACAAUACCCUCCUCCAGAUCUUGCCCUUCCCUCACCCAACCUGCCGGUUCCAGAGUGGCCUUCACCACCCUUGUCUGUCACUGGCACUCACCUGGGGCCUUGGGAGUUCAUGAUGAUCAGAGGCGCACAGACCUGGUCCCUUCACUUCACACUCCUCUCUUGACAUGCACAGACGCUACACACAUGCCUGAUGGUGCACACACCUCUUCUACACUCCCAGACUCUCGUCCCCUUGUUCACAUGUGCAGGGAUAUAUUCACAUACCCACAAAUCCACCCACAUGCAGACAAUGCUCACAUGCACACAGACUCACACUCAGAGUACAUGCAUUCUCACCACACACACACACACACACACACACACACACACACAGCACCAAGUACCCUGCUUCUCAGCCAUGCCUGGCCUCUCCUGUCCAGAGGCUGGUCCCAGUGAGGCUGAGGCUCAAGGCUGUCACCUGGCUCCCAGCCGAGCCCACAUUCCGGGGCUCCAGCCUGGCCAUGGCCUCUCUCUUGCAACGGGGCUGUUCCCAGACUCCCAGUUGGUAGUCUGAAGGCCCUUGCCCCAGCCUGUGAAGACAUCCUCCAGUGGCUUCCUGAGGGCCGCUGUCCUGCACUGCUUUCUGGCCUCCAUGUCUCUGAUUAGAAAUUUGGUGGUAACAUAUACAAAAAAUUACCUGGUUGUGGUGGCACACACCUGUAGUCCCACCUACUCAGGAGGCUGAGGCAGGAGAAUCACUUGAACCCAGGAGGCGGAGGUUGUGGUGAGCCAAGAUGGGGCCAUUGCACUCCAGUCUGAGCAACAAGAGUAAAACUCUGUAUCAAAAAAAAAAAAAAAAAAAAAUCUGGCGGUUAUGUUAUGGAGGAUCCUUUGUUCAUGAUAUGUGGCUUUUUUUUUUUGACAGGGUCUCCCUCUGUUGCUCAGGCUGGAGUACAGUGGCAGGAUCAUGGCUCACUGCAGUCUUGACCACAAGCGGACCUCCUACCUCAGCCCCCCAAGUAGCUGAGACUACAGAUGGAGUCUCACUCUGUCACCAGGCUGGCUCACUGCAGUCUCCACCUCUUGGGUUCAAUCGGUUCUCCUGCCUGAGCCUCCCAAACAACAAAAAAAAGCCAGAAAUCCAAGAGCUGCUGCUGCUGCUAUAGGCCUGGCUGCCGCCUUUUGGGGCCUCCAUCUUCAGACAAACCCAGUCUGGCCUCAUCCACACUCUGUGUCCCACAGCUGCAGGAACAGCACACCCUGCCACCACAGUGCAUUGUCUCUGGAGUGGCCCAAGGGGACCCUGGCUGGCCUACUGACUCAGUGCCAGGGGACAGGCCAAUGUCCCUUUUGUGCUGACAGCUGGGCUGCACCCUGGCAUGAGGGCAUUUACAGAAAUGCUGGCAGGAACCACUGUCAGGGAGGCCUCGGGUGGCUUCUCUGAGUGUCUGUGGUUCUCUGCUCCAGGCUGUCCCCUAAGAGGGUCUGCCCAGGACUCAGGUAAGCAGAUGCUCGUUAGAAACCUUGAGCACUGCCUGCCCAGCCCAGCCAGUUGUGGUGCUGACAGAUGUGGGGGACAGUGGUCCCUGCCCUCGGUGGGGGCUCCAGCUCCAGACCAGCAAGGGCCAAAGCCCCAGAAGGCAGAGCAGAAAGACAGGACUCAGGACACCUGAAGCAGCCUUCUCACUGGCAGAAGGAAACAGAAGCCCAGGGUGGGGAGGGGCAGGCCCAGGGUCACAUGGGACAGUGGCAGAGCCAGGACUAGGGUCAGAGUCUCUAACUCUCAGCCACCCAUGCCACCACCUCCUCUGUUCACCCCAGUGCCUCAUGGGUCCAAGGUUGACCCUUGUUCCUAGGACAGGCCUGUUGCCCACAGGGCUCAUGCAUGGCCCUGCCUGACCCAGCCACCGGGAGGAUGGCCCUAGGGUGGGAGCCCAGACAAGCAUCAUCCUCAAGCUCCAGCCUGGCCCCAAGUGGAAACUUGUCACUGGUCAGGCAUCUGGACAGCAGCAUCCUCGAGGACUUGGAGAGGUGGCCAGUCCCAUGGUGAGGUGAUGGAGGCUGAGGGUGAUGGCUCAGUCCUGGGUUUCCAUGGGUCCUUCCCAGGGAACGUUCUGGCAGUUGCCGACUGAACCCUGGGAAGUGACCCUGGCACAAAGCUCCCUGACUCUCCAUGAUUCGUCUUUUAUUUUGGGGUGUUGUAUACAAAGGGAGGUCACUGUUGUAAUGGUGCUGGUGGGACUGCUGCCCUUGGUAUUCUGGCCUGAGUUGGGCCUGAAUUGUGGGCCUCCAGACUGAGGGAACCCCUGUGCAGUAAAGCGUAUACUCAUUAGCUUGGGGAAGGCAGGGUCUCUGUAUCUUUUAGAAGAAAAACAAGACCUCAGCCAGUUCCUGGAAGAUGAGCUGUGUGCUUUGGUAGUAUUCUGCCUGGAAACAGUGUCUUUGAAUUCCUGGAGCCUCAGCGAUGCCCGACAGUCUGCUGACAAUGUGAUGUAUGGUAGGGACCUUGGAUCUCGCUGUAUCAGUUUGACCUCCAGAGGGGGCAGGAGACUUGAUACCUAAUGUCAGCCACUCAAGUCCUCAAUACAUACAAGACCAACCUCGCAAAACCCCUGGCCAUGAGGGCUUGGUAGAGAUCCCUGACAGGCAGUGUCCUGUACAUGUAUCACACAUUGUGGCUGGGAGAAUCCAACACUGUUCAUGUGAUUGCACUGGAAGGCAACAGCCGGAUAUUUUUUUUCUUUUAGACAUUCUUGCUCUUUCGCCCAGGCUAGAGCGCAGUGGUGUGAUCUUGGCUCAGUGCAACCUCUGCCUCCUGGAUUCAAGUGAUUCUCUUGCCUCAGUCUCCCAAGUAGCCGGGGUUAUAGGUGCUUGCCACAGCGCCCAGCUAAUUUUUGUAUUUUUAUUAGAGAUGGGGUUUCACCAUCUUGGCCAGGCUGGUCUCGAACUCCUGAUCUCAAAUGAUCCACCAGCCUCAGCUUGCCAAACUGCUGGGAUUACAGGUGUGAGAGACCAUGCCCAGCCAACAGCAGGAAUUCUGUGCUGUGUCUCGGGCACCACUGACCUCUGCUGACUUCCAUCUGGAUCUUUUCAGUGUAAUAAACCAUGACAGUGAGUACAACGGCAUUUCAGAAUUCUGUGAGUCCUUAUAGCAAAUCAUUGAACUGAGGGAGGGUCUUGGGGACUCCAGACACAGUUGGCUUCAGAAAUGUGAUUCGCUAGAAUUAGCUUCUCUGAAACUUAGUGCAAGCUUAACUUGGAGAAAGGAAGGUAAAGGGGCUGAUGAAGCUUUAUUCCUGCAGUUACUACAUCACUAGCUGCACUGUGAUUGAUUACAAGAGGUAAAAGUUACCUAUGGAAUUUAGAAAUGAUGGAACCAAGAUUCAACAGAGUUGGCACAGCAGAUGUGUAAGAAAAUGUAAAGUAACAAGAAACAAGCUAAAUAUACAAUCCCUUGGUUACUGUUGCAUGCCAUUAGCUACACUGAAAAUAAAGGAUACGCUGGGUGUGGUGGCUCACGCCCAUAAUCCCAGCACUUUAGGAGGCUGAGGCAAGAGGAUCGCUUGAGCCCAGGAGUUUGAGACCAGCCUGGGCAACAUGGCAAGACCCUGUCUCUACAGGUAAUUUAAAAGUUAGCUGGGUGCAGUGACGCAGGUCUGUGGUCCAAGCUACUUAGGAGGCUGAGGUGGGGGAAAUCACUUGAAUCCAGGCAGCUGAGUUUGCAGUGAGCCAUGAUUGCAGCACUGUACUCCAGCCUGGGCCACAGGAGGCCCUGUAUCCAAAAAAAAGAAAAGAAAGAAAAAAGAGAAAAGAGGGGUAGCAAAGCAUUCAUCCUACUCCUCACCCCCAUGGGAACACCAAAUUUUAACAACUAUCUGCACACAGAAAAGCACUGUCACAAGUACCAAAAAUCAGGUGAGCCAUCACAGUACUUGGUUUUCCCUUCCUAUAACAGAAAGAGGCAUGGAUGAGGGUGGGAGAGACAGUCCUGAUUCGCUGGUGCCACCUGUCCUUCACCCCCUGGCAGACAGCAUGCAGCACCAAGUCUCUGCACUUGCAGGAGGGAGAGAGCAAUGACUAGGAGGUCUGACACUGAACUCAGUGCCACCCUCUCCCUGCGGAGAGCAAAGCCAAAGCCAUGCUUUGCUCAGUCAGUGCCCAAACUGGAAGGGAGCAUCUGGGCCAGCCCUAGCCAGACAGGAAUCACCCAUUCCAGGGUCCAGAACUUGAGUUUCUGGGCAAGCCUCCCCACCAUGGGCCAGAGUACUUAAGGAUCCUAGGGAAACUUGCAAGAGGGUCUAGGACCCAAGGACUACAGUUCCUCUGCAACUCUGAGUCCUGGGCUCGGCUCAGAGCCAGGGACUGGGGUGGCACAUGACCCAGGGAGCCAGGAGCCAGGGUGGCCGAAGGAGUGCUUGCCACCCUCCCCUAGCCUCAGACUGCACAGCUGGCCAAACAAUGGAAGUUAUUCCUCUCUUCUGCUCGAGAGGAGUGAGGAGUAAUGAGGACUUGGUCUUGCAUCCUGGAUACCAGCUCAACCACAGGAGGAGAGGACACCAGGCAGAGGAGUGAGACCUCCAGCCUAGGCCCUAGCUCACUGGCGUUCUAGACACACUUUGAGGCAGAAGGGAACCCAGUGUCUUGAAUAAAAGGACCCAGCCCUGGUAGGAUUCAUCACCUAUGGGGCCUGAAUAACUGGGAAGGAUACCCAGGUAGUACAUCAUGGGCCUUGGGCUCUGAGACAUGCUGACUUCAGGAGUGACCCAGCACACUCCCAGCUCUGGUGGUGACGGUGAGAGAGGGAGGAGAGGGAAGAGAAAAGGGGACUUGGUCUUGCACCCUAGCUACCAGCCUGGCCACAGUGGGGCAGAGCACCAACGAGGCUCUUGGUCCCCGAGUCCAGGUCUAGGCUCUUGGACAGUGUUUCUGGACCUGCCCUAGGCCAGAGGGAAAACUACUGCCCUGCAGGGUGGGUCUCAGGCCUGGCAGCAUUGACCACAAGCUGACUGAAGGGCUGUUGAGCCUUAGCGAACACCAGCGGGGGCUGCCAGAACCCCGCAGCAGGUACUGGUGGGGGUGGUGGCCACUGGAGAGGACCCCGUCUGUGGAAAGUGGAGGCAACAGCAGCUUAGCCGCAGUGGAAUAGAACAAGAGGCAAACUGCUAAGGUUGCUGACAAUAAUCCCUGCUCCCAGACAGCAUCUCUGGCCCCACCUAGGGCCUGGGGGAAAGACACAAACCUGGAUGGCUUCACUACCUGGUGAUCACAGAGCUCUGGGGCCUUGAGUGAACAUCGGCGGUAGCCAGGUAGUGGUUCCAGCAGAUCUUGGGUGAGACCCAGUGCUGUGCUGGCCUCAGGUGUGACCAGUGCAGUCCCAGUGGUGGUGGCCACAGAGGUUCCUGUAUCACCACACCCCCCAGCUCCAGGUGACUCAGCACAGAGAGACUCCAUUUGUUUGGGGAAAAGUAAAGGAAGAGAACAAGAGUCUCUGCCUGAUAAUCCAGAGAAUUCUUCCAGAUCCCAUCCAAGACCCCCAGCGCGGUACCUCUAUGAGGUUUCAAAACCACAGCACUGGCCGGGCACGGUGGCUCAUGCCCGUGAUCCCAGCACUUUGGGAGGCUGAGGUGAGUGGAUCACCUGAGGUCAGGAGUUCAGGAUCACCCGGGCCAACAUGGUGAAACCCUGUCUCUACUAAAAAUAUAAAAAAUUAGCUAUGCGUGGUAGGGGGUGCCUGUAGUCCCAGCUACUUGGGAAGCUGAGGAAGGAGAAUUGCUUGAACUUGGGAAGCAGAGGCUGCAGUUAGCCACUGCACUCCAGCCUAAGUGACAGAGACAGACUCUGUCUCCAAAAAAAAAUAAAAUUUUAUACACACACACACACACACACACACACACACAUAUGUAAAAUAUAUAUUUAUUUAUUUAUGGGCAAAUCUAUUAAUAAAUCAUGAUUAAAGUUAUCAAGUCAUAGGGCAAAUCUAUGAGUCAUUGGCCUUAAAGAGGAGGUAGAGAAAGACAUGGGUAGAAAGUUUAUUUGAAAGGAUAGUAAAAGAGAACAUCCCAAACCUAGAGAAAGAUAUCAACAUUCAGUUACAAGAAGUUUAUAGAACACCAAGCAUAUUUAACCCAAAGAAGACUACCUCAAGGUGUCUGAUAAUUACAAUUCCAAAGGUCAAGGAUAAAGAAAGAAUCCUGAAAGCACCAAGAGAAAAAACAAGUAACAUACAAGGAAGCUCCAAUACAUGGGGGAGCCAACUUUCCAGUGGAAACCUUACAGGCCAGAAGAGAGUGGCAUGACAUAUUUAAAGUGCCGAAGGAAGAAAACCCAUUACCCUAGAAUAGCAUAUCUGGCAAAAAUUUCCUUCAGACAGGAAGGAGAAAUAAAGACCUUCCCAGACAAACAAAAGCUGAGAGAUUCCAUCAACACCAGAUGGGUCCUACAAGAAAUGCUAAAGGGAGUUUUUCAAUCUGUAAAAAAAGAUAUUAAUGAGCAAGGAUAAAUCAUCUAAAGGUACAAAACUCACUGGUAAUCGUAAGCACACAGAAAAACAGUAUUAUAGUACUGUAAUUGUGGUGUGUAAGUUACUUUUAAUUAAAGUAAAUGAUAAACCAAUCAAAAAUAACUACAACUUUUCAAGAUACAGACAGUACAGUAAGACAUACAGAGGCUGGGCACCAUGGCCCUCACCUGUAGUCCCAGCUCUUUGGGAGGCCAAGGCAGGCAGAAUACCUGAGGUCAGGAAUUCAAGACCAGCCUGGUCAACAUGGUGAAACCCUGUCUCAGCAAAAAUACAAAAAAAUUAGCUGGGCAUGGUGGUGGCCACCUGCUACUCAAAAAGCUGAGACAGGAGAAUUGUUUGAACCUGGGAGGUAGAGUUUACAGUGAGCUGAGAUCAUGCCACUGCACUCCAGCUGGGCGACAGAGCAAGAUUCCAUCUCAAAAUGCAAAAAAAAAAAACGUAAACAGAAACAACAAAAAGUUAAAAAGCGCUGAGAUGAAGGUAAAGUGUCGAGUUUUCAUUAGUUUUCUUUUUGCUUUAUGUUUAUUUAUUCAAUCAGUGUUAAGUUGACAUCAGUUUAUAAUGAGUUAUAAGAUCGUAUUUGCAAGCCUCACAGUAACCUCAAAUCAAAAAACACACAAUAUAUGAGACUGUCUCAAAAAAAGAAAGAAAAGAAAAAACACAGUGGAUACAUAAAAAAUAGAAGCAAGAAAUUAAAUCAUACCACCAGCUAGCAGAGGAAAUCACCUUCACUAAAAGCAAGACAAGAAGGAAAAAAAGAAAGAGAAGACCACAGAACAGUGAGAAAACAAGUAACAAAAUGGCAGCAGUAAGUCCCUACUUGGCAAUAACAUUGAAAUGGACUCAACUCUGCAGUACGAAGACACAGAGUGGCUGAGCGGGUGAGAAAGCAAGGCCCAGUGACAUGCUGCCUAUAAGAAACACACUCCACCUAUAGAGAUACACAUAGACUUGAAAACAAAGGGACGGAAAAAGCUACUACAUGCCACAGGAAACCAAAAAAGAGCAGGAGUAGCAAUAGUGAGACAAAAUAGAUUUUAAGACAAAAAGUGUAAGAGGAGACGAAGGCCAUCCAGCAACAGAAUAUGACAACUGUAAAUCCAUAUGCACACACACUGGAGCACAUAAAGCAAAUGUUAUUAGAGCUAGAGAGACAGACCUUAAUGCAACAAGAGCUAGAGACUUCAGCACCCCACUUCCAGCACUGGACGGAUCUCCCAGAUGGAAACCCAACAAGAAAACAUUAGAUUUAAUCUGCACUAUAGGACAAAUGGAUAUACUAGGUGUUCACAGAACCCUUCAUCCAAAGUCUGCAGAAUACACACUCUUCUCCUCAGCACAUGGAUCGUUCUCAAGGACACACGGUAUGUUAGGUCACUAAGAAGCCUUAAAACAUUAAAAAAGCUGAAAUAGUAUCAAACAUCCUCUCUGACAACAACAGAGUAAAAGUAGAAAUCCGCAACAAGAGGAAUUCUGGAAACCAUACAAACACGUAAAAUUAAACAAUAUGCUCCUGAAUGACCAGUGGUUCAGUGAGGACAUUAAGAAAAUUUCACUGGGCACCAUAGCUCAUGCCUGUAAUCCCAGCACUCUGGGAGGCUGAGGCAGGCAGAUCACCUGAGAUCAGGAGUUCGAGCCCAGCCUGGUCAACAUGGUGAAACCCCAUCUCUACUAAAAAUACAAAGAUUAGCAGGGCAUGGUGGCUGGCGCCUGUAAUCCCAGCUCCUUGGGAAGCUGAGGCAGGAGAAUCACUUGAACCUAGGAGGCAGAUGUUGCAGUCAGCCAAGAUGGCGCCACUGCACUCCAGUCCGGGCAGACAGAGCAAAACUCUGUCUCAAAAAGAAAAAAAAAAAAAAAAAAAAAAAGGAAAUUAAAAAAAUUCCUGAAACAAAUAAUGAUCACAGAAACAGAACAUAGCAAAACCUGUGGGAUACCGAGAAAACAGUACUAAG